CUGCCUGAUGGAGGGGGAGUAACUACUGGAAACGGUAGCUAAUACCGCAUAACGUCGCAAGACCAAAGAGGGGGACCUUCGGGCCUCUUGCCAUCGGAUGUGCCCAGAUGGGAUUAGCUAGUAGGUGGGGUAACGGCUCACCUAGGCGACGAUCCCUAGCUGGUCUGAGAGGAUGACCAGCCACACUGGAACUGAGACACGGUCCAGACUCCUACGGGAGGCAGCAUG
rnacentral:rRNA from 1 species